rnacentral:rRNA from 1 species
UGGGGAAUAUUGCACAAUGGGGGAAACCCUGAUGCAGCGACGCCGCGUGAACGAAGAAGGUAUUCGUAUCGUAAAGUUCUGUCCUAUGGGAAGAUAAUGACAGUACCAUAGAAGAAAGCUCCGGCUAAAUACGUGCCAGCAGCCGCGGUAAUACGUAUGGAGCGAGCGUUGUCCGGAAUUAUUGGGCGUAAAGGGUACGCAGGCGGUUUAAUAAGUCGAAUGUUAAAGAUCGGGGCUCAACCCCGCAAAGCAUUUGAAACUGAUAAACUUGAGUAGUGGAGAGGAAAGUGGAAUUCCUAGUGUAGUGGUGAAAUACGUAGAUAUUAGGAGGAAUACCAGUAGCGAAGGCGACUUUCUGGACACAAACUAACGCUGAGGUACGAAAGCGUGGGGAGCAAACAGG